UACGUAGGCAGCGAGCGUUUGUUCGGAAUUACUGGGCGUAAAGAGUGUGUAGGCGGUGCUCCCAGUCUGUUGUGAAAUCUCCCGGCUUAACUGGGAGGGUGCAGCGGAAACUAGAGUGCUAGAGGGUGGGAGAGGUAAGCGGAAUUCCUGGUGUAGCGGUGAAAUGCGUAGAUAUCAGGAGGAACACCGAUGGCGAAGGCAGGUCUCUGGGCCACUACUGACGCUGAGAAGCGAAAGCAUGGGGAGCGAACAGG
rnacentral:rRNA from 1 species